CCCUUGUUAAUUUCUCGCAGCUUACACUUUCUCGCUAUUGGCUUUUCCUAUAAUAGUAAUGAUAGUUUUCGUGGGAAGAGCGUCAGUCCUAAGGUUUCGUAGAUGGAGUACCCCUUAUAGUGUGAGUGCUAGGCAUUAAAUCUCCUUAAGUAAUUCCCGUGAGUUUGUGGCCAUUGAGACCCAUGAAGCACUAUUUCAAAGACGUUCAAGGAAAGUCCUAAUACAGGCCAGAAUCUUAGUAGCGAGGGGAUUGACGCUAUUUCACUCUUCUUCCAAAGCAAAGAGAUCGGAAAGUUUCGUCAAGCUAGAAGAUUUUUUCGCAGAUAGAUCCAUGGUUUAGCCUCUUAGGGGCCAUUUCUCCAGAUCGUGAGUUCGCUUUUUUCUAUCCCUGGAAAAAAGAAGAGAAGGAUCCGCAGCAUUUUCCAAAAACGCUUUCCUCGGAGUCUAAGGGGAAUUGAAAGAAAGAUAGGCUCGCAUACAUUCCCUCUGGGCGUCGGAAUUGCCUUUCUUUGAGAACAUAUAAAGUAGUUCUAA
rnacentral:lncRNA from 1 species